rnacentral:rRNA from 1 species
GGUUUCUUGUAAUUUAAUUAAUUUAAGGAAUUUAACCUGCCCACUGAAUAAAAUUUUGAAGGGCCGCAGUAUUUUGACUGUGCAAAGGUAGCAUAAUCAUUAGUCUUUUAAUUGGGGACUGGUAUGAAUGGUUGGACGAGGUGAAUACUGUUUUAUAUUAAUUUAAUUGAAUUUAGAUUUUAAGUAAAAAGACUUAAAUAUUAUUAAGGGACGAGAAGACCCUAUAGAGUUUAAUAUAUAAUGUAAUUAAUUGAGUUAAAAUUUAAUUUUUAAUUAUUAUUAAGUAUAUUUAAUUGGGGUGAUUAAAGAAUAUUAUAAACUUCUUUUUUUAUUUAAUGUUAUAAAUAAUUUUAUGAUCCAAUUUUAAUGAUUAAAAGAUUAAAUUACCUUAGGGAUAACAGCAUAAUUUUUUUUAAGAGUUCAUAUUGAAAGAAAAGA